UGGAUCUCAACGCUGAGCCGCCUUCUCGUC
rnacentral:piRNA from 1 species